ACGACGCCAUUUUUUUGUUGUAGUAAAUAGACGGCUUGUACGCCAGUUCUAGAUCUAGCUUGAAUCUGAAUUACAUUUAUUUCAAUAAUAUUUAGAUAAUGUGAUGUGCAUGUACAGUCGAAAAGUGAAUUUAGGUAGCUGAAAAUCAAAUAAUCAAAUCCAAUGUCUAAACUUUUGUCAAGUUUACUAACAAAGAUGUUUUUUGUGAACGGUCAUUUACUUAGCUGUUUUUAAAAUUAGGUCUUCUGAGGGUGUUGGCCUCUCUCUUCAUCAGGUUAGAAACAAAGCUGGGGGUCUCUUUUCAAAUUACACAAUAAAAUAAGGACUCAAUAUUCAAGAUGGCCGCCGAUCAUUUUUGCCUACGAUGGAACAACUAUCAGAGCAACAUGGUGACGGAACUGGAUACUCUGAGGAGUGAGGAGCAUCUAGUGGAUGUCACUCUAUCCUGUGAAGGACAGAAGUUCAGAGCCCACAAAGUUAUUCUGUCUGCUUGCAGCGUCUACUUCAGGAAUGUGUUCAAAGAAAACCCUUGCGAGCAUCCAGUCGUGAUACUUAAGGACGUCUCACACGAGGACGUGGAGGCGCUACUGAGUUUUGUCUACCAGGGCGUCGUUUAUGUCUCGGAGAAGAAGUUGGCCUCUUUCCUUCAAACUGCCGAGCUGUUGCAGAUCAAAGGGCUAACGGGAGCCGCGUCCAGUAUCAAAGAGAACCAUAACACCGACAAAGGCGGCCCCCCACCGCUGAAUCCAACAUGGCCGUCGAACAAAUCGUCCGCAAAGUCGUCGUGUUCGCCGACACCGCCCAAGCGGAAGAAGGGCACGCCGGUGCGCAUCUGCAAGACCAGUGACGGUGGAGGAGGAGGGGACACAUCGGACACUAACAGCAACAAUGCAGUGGGUGAGGAGGAGGGGGAGAUAGCUGUCAAACAGGAGCGCAUGGAGGAAGGCGAGACGCUUAGCGUACAGGUAUCCUUAGGCGCAGACGACGACACAUCACACGAUGGAAGCAGUAUGAUGAUGGCGAUGUACCACGAUGUGGGUGGAGGGGGUGACUCGAACUCGGCCAGCGUGGGAGGAGGGGAGGGCGAGGAGGAUUGUGGUGGGGAGGAGGAGGAAGAUGACGGGGAGGUGAAAGGCGCGGGAGGGGAAAUGAGUGAUACGACGGCAACACUGCUGGAGCGCUCUCUGUCGGGGGCCAGUGUGUCUAGGCAACAGUUCGAUAUGCAAGGACCCUUCUCAGCCUUCCCGAUACCAGCCCCUGGCCAAGGACUUCCCGACCAACUUACACCCUCUGGAGGUGCCUCAUCACAAUCAUCUUCUACGUCAUCGUCUUCUCACCUGGCUCAGUGCGGCAACUGUCCCCACUGUGGCAAGCCCUAUACCAACCAAUCGGCGCUCAAGUACCAUGUGCGCCUCAUGCACUCGGACCUCACCAACCGCCAGUGCUGCUAUCUGUGUCCGCUCUCGUUCGCGCAGCGCGAACACUACAAGUCGCACAUGCUCGAAAAGCACAAUGUGCGCUGCUAAGCUCCUGGUGUAGACUUCCCUUAAUGGCCGGUGUAGACUCCCCUUAAAGGCCGGUGUAGACUCCCCUUGAUGGCCGGUGUAGACUCCCCUUGAUGGCCGGUGUAGACUUGCCUUAAAGGCCUGUGUAGAAUCCCCUUGAUGGCCGGUGUUGACUUGCCUUUAAGGCCGGUGUAGAAUCCACUUGAAGGUCGACAUAAUUUUUUGUUUGAAUUCAAAAGUCUCGCUGUAAAGCCUUGUUGGCUCGCGUAGACUACUCUUAAUUAUUGGUGUAGACUCUUCUUAAAGGCCGGUGUACACUCCCCUUGAAGUAAGUCAAAAGUGAGAACUCGCAAACUCUUUUAAGGCCGGGACCCCUUGAAAGUCAACGUAAAUUCCCCUGGAUGCCCAGUUUAGACUCUCCUUAAUUAUUUGUGUAUAUACUUCCCUU
rnacentral:misc_RNA from 1 species